rnacentral:lncRNA from 1 species
GGAGGCUGAUCUACAACGCCUCCAAUGACCUGAACCGUCUGCACUGCAAAUACAACCUUGAGCCAGUGACCAACCAGGUGGCACGCUGGGUCGUCGAGACGGCCACGAGACUCUCACCGACUCGGAAAAGUCCCUGGUUGCCGACUACCUGACCCAUUUGACUGCCGAGAAGCAUUACCAAUAGAAGCAGGCGCGCAACGUUGUGAGGGGCUGUCAGGUGCUAGCUAGGCUAGCUGGUGACUCAGGAGCCGAGUCUGUAGGGGAGGGUACCAGUGGUAUUGCUGGUCGUGUCCGUGGCGCUGCUCGUCAUGUCCCACGCAACAUGCAGAUGGAUGUGCAGGCAGCGUAUGACAGACUCAAGGAAAGUCACCCGGUGACUCUGGAUGGGGAGGUGCCAAGCAAGAUUGAGCACAAGAGGAUCUCCGUCGAAUGCCACCAGGUCCUGUAUGAGCGUUGAUUGAAGGCCCAGAUGAAACUGCGCAAGCAGCAUGUUCUCCAUACUUCUGCUGCCGUCGCCCGAAGGAGAGACGUGUGGCCGCCUGGAUUGCCAAGCAGAGGUGGAAGAGCAACAUCCCCAAAGCUGCCAGCAUCGUCAGAGAGUGGAAGCCCUCUGGAUCUGAGGAUACAGUGAUGGACUCCAACCAGAUAUAGAAGCUGGCGAGGACACAGAAGUGGAUCAAUCAAUCAGUCAAUCUUUUAUUUGUAUAGCACCAAUUCAUAACCAAUGGUAUCUCAAGACACUUUACAGUAGAGCAGUCUU